rnacentral:rRNA from 1 species
UACGAAGGGGGCUAGCGUUGCUCGGAAUCACUGGGCGUAAAGCGCACGUAGGCGGGUCUUUAAGUCAGGGGUGAAAUCCUGGAGCUCAACUCCAGAACUGCCUUUGAUACUGAGGAUCUCGAGUCCGGGAGAGGUGAGUGGAACUCCGAGUGUAGAGGUGAAAUUCGUAGAUAUUCGGAAGAACACCAGUGGCGAAGGCGGCUCACUGGCCCGGUACUGACGCUGAUGUGCGAAAGCGUGGGGAGCA